rnacentral:hammerhead_ribozyme from 1 species
AUCCAGUUGACGAGUUCUAAAUAGAACGAAACGCGCUUUGUGGAU